rnacentral:rRNA from 1 species
UACGUAGGGGGCAAGCGUUGUCCGGAUUUAUUGGGCGUAAAGAGCGUGUAGGCGGUCAGGUAGGUCGGUUGUGAAAACUGGAGGCUCAACCUUCAGAGGUCGACCGAAACCCCCUGGCUAGAGUCCGGGAGAGGAGAGUGGAAUUCCUGGUGUAGCAGUGAAAUGCGUAGAUAUCUGGAGGAACACCGGUGGCGAAGGCGGCAUCCUGGACCGGUAUUGACGCUGAGGCGCGAAAGCUAGGGGAGCAAACGGG